AAUAGAUACCCCGGGUAGUCCACGCCGUAAACGAUGAGUGCUAAGUGUUAGAGGGUUUCCGCCCUUUAGUGCUGCAGCUAACGCAUUAAGCACUCCGCCUGGGGAGUACGGUCGCAAGACUGAAACUCAAAGGAAUUGACGGGGGCCCGCACAAGCGGUGGAGCAUGUGGUUUAAUUCGAAGCAACGCGAAGAACCUUACCAGGUCUUGACAUCCUCUGACAACUCUAGAGAUAGAGCGUUCCCCUUCGGGGGGACAGAGUGACAGGUGGUGCAUGGUUGUCGUCAGCUCGUGUCGUGAGAUGUUGGGUUAAGUCCCGCAACGAGCGCAACCCUUGAUCUUAGUUGCCAGCAUUUAGUUGGGCACUCUAAGGUGACUGCCGGUGACAAACCGGAGGAAGGUGGGGAUGACGUCAAAUCAUCAUGCCCCUUAUGACCUGGGCUACACACGUGCUACAAUGGAUGGUACAAAGGGCUGCAAGACCGCGAGGUCAAGCCAAUCCCAUAAAACCAUUCUCAGUUCGGAUUGUAGG
rnacentral:rRNA from 1 species